CCUACGGGAGGCAGCAGUGAGGAAUAUUGGUCAAUGGACGAGAGUCUGAACCAGCCAAGUAGCGUGAAGGAUGACUGCCCUAUGGGUUGUAAACUUCUUUUAUAUGGGAAUAAAACGUUCCACGUGUGGGAUUUUGUAUGUACCAUAUGAAUAAGGAUCGGCUAACUCCGUGCCAGCAGCCGCGGUAAUACGGAGGAUCCGAGCGUUAUCCGGAUUUAUUGGGUUUAAAGGGAGCGUAGGUGGAUUUUUAAGUCAGUUGUGAAAGUUUGGGGCUCACCGUAAAAUUGCAGUUGAAACUGGCAGUCUUGAGUACAGUAGAGGUGGGCGGAAUUCGUGGUGUAGCGGUGAAAUGCUUAGAUAUCACGAAGAACUCCGAUUGCGAAGGCAGUUCACUGGACUGCAACUGACACUGAGGCUCGAAAGUGUGGGUAUCAAACAGGAUUAGAUACCCUUGUAGUC
rnacentral:rRNA from 1 species